AUUCGAUCAGUAAGAAAACAGAGGUAACGGCAACGGUCGAUCUCGUUUGGCUUUCUGUGGAAUUAUUUUCUUUGGAGGAAGAAAAAUAGACCAGUGUAACCGGAAAUAUAGUAUGUAAAAUGAACUACAAGAUGACGUACCUAAAUGGAUUCGGGCCAGGGUGCAGCAUUGUUUAGAGGGUCUUGAACGUGUCAGUUGCAGUGCUGUCUAUGCAGGGUCUCUGACGGACCGAUGGCGAUUUAACAUGUUGAAAUGGGCAAACUGCCGCUGACAUGAGCCUGAUGUUAGCCUGACGAAGGACAACGAGUGGAACACACCAAACAAACUGGCCCGAAGUUG